CAUCACUAACUGCCCCUCGCCUCCAUUACCAACUGCCACUCAUACGAACGGAACCCAUUCUUCUUCCGAACAAGGUCCACCCCUGCACCCCAUUAGAACGUUAACACCAACCACUUAAUUGCGAAACCGCAAGGGAAACAAUGGAGUGCUUCUCCUGGGUGGCCGCCAUUUCGUAUAACCGAACACGUGGUUGAGAGAAUGGCGGCCAUCUUGUCUCCUGAAAGAGGGCAGCGGUACCU